CUAGUUUGUAAUAAGAACAUGUAAACAAGGUCCUCGAAUCAAGAACAUUUAUUUUUAAACUGUAUAUGACCCUCCUGAUAAAUGUAUUUAUUGCUUUAGGAAUGUGCAGUGCUACAGAAGGCUACAUUCUAAAUAAAUUAUGGCAUUUCAAUGUCUAAAACCUCACGAUAAAUAGACUUUCUGCUUCUUGGUGUGAAAUUACCUUGAAAUUGC